UACGUAGGGUGCAAGCGUUAAUCGGAUUUAUUGGGCGUAAAGGGCGUGUAGACGGGAAACUAAGUCAGAUGUGAAAUCCCGGGGCUUAACCUCGGAACUGCAUUUGAAACUAAUUUUCUAGAGGAUGGACGGAGAAAACGGAAUUCCACAAGUAGCGGUGAAAUGCGUAGAUAUGUGGAAGAACACCAGUGGCGAAGGCGGUUUUCUAGUUUAUACCUGACGUUGAGGCGCGAAAGCUAGGGGAGCAAACAGG
rnacentral:rRNA from 1 species